AUUGAACGCUGGCGGCAUGCCUUACACAUGCAAGUCGAACGGCAGCACGGGAGCAAUCCUGGUGGCGAGUGGCGAACGGGUGAGUAAUAUAUCGGAACGUGCCCAGUCGUGGGGGAUAACGCAGCGAAAGUUGUGCUAAUACCGCAUACGAUCUAUGGAUGAAAGCGGGGGAUCGCAAGACCUCGCGCGAUUGGAGCGGCCGAUAUCAGAUUAGGUUGUUGGUGAGGUAAAAGCUCACCAAGCCUGCGAUCUGUAGCUGGUCUGAGAGGACGACCAGCCACACUGGAACUGAGACACGGCCCAGACUCCUACGGAGGCAGCAGUGGGGAAUUUUGGACAAUGGACGAAAGUCUGAUCCAGCAAUGCCGCGUGCAGGACGAAGGCCUUCGGGUUGUAACUGCUUUAUACUAGAACGAAAAGUACUUUAAUAACACUAGAGCUCAUGACGGUACUGUAAGAAUAAGACACCGCUAACC
rnacentral:rRNA from 1 species